ACGGCGGACGGGUGAGUAACGCGUGGGUAACCUACCCUGUACACACGGAUAACAUACCGAAAGGUAUGCUAAUACGGGAUAAUAUAUUUGAGAGGCAUCUCUUGAAUAUCAAAGGUGAGCCAGUACAGGAUGGACCCGCGUCUGAUUAGCUAGUUGGUAAGGUAACGGCUUACCAAGGCGACGAUCAGUAGCCGACCUGAGAGGGUGAUCGGCCACAUUGGAACUAAGACACGGUCCAA
rnacentral:rRNA from 1 species